rnacentral:rRNA from 1 species
UUGCUCUUCAACGAGGAAUGCCUAGUAGGCACAAGUCAUCAGCUUGUGCCGAUUACGUCCCUGCCCUUUGUACACACCGCCCGUCGCUACUACCGAUUGAAUGGCUCAGUGAGGCCUUCGGACUGGCUCAGGGAGGUUGGAAACGACCACCCAGAGCCGGAAAGUUGGUCAAACUUGGUCAUUUAGAGGAAGUAAAAGUCGUAACAAGGUUUCCGUAGGUGAACCUGCGGAAGGAUCAUUACCAGUGCCGCCGGCGCCGCGCCCGACCUCCGGGUCCGGGUGCACGCCGGUCCGAGCCCCACCCGUGAACACUGAACCUCACGUUGCCUUGGCGGGCCCGCUGCACGCCAGCCGCCGGGGGAGCCCUGCCGGUGCGCUUACCCGCGCCGCGCACCUCCCCGGGCCCGCGCCCGCCAAUGGACCCCAAGUGAACUUCUGAUGGAACAGGAACGUCUGAGUGAUUUGUUAAAUAAACAAAACUUUCAACAACGGAUCUCUUGGUUCCGGCAUCGAUGAAGAACGCAGCGAAAUGCGAUAAGUAAUGUGAAUUGCAGAAUUCCGUGAAUCAUCGAAUCUUUGAACGCACAUUGCGCCCUCUGGUAUUCCGGGGGGCAUGCCUGUCCGAGCGUCAUUGCAACCCUCAAGCGCGGCUUGUGUGUUGGGUCCCGUUGUCCCCGCGCUCGCGGGGACAGGCCCGGAAAGCAGUGGCAGCGUCCCGACGCAGGUGCCUGAGUGAAUGGGAUCAAACUAUCCGCUCGAGAGGCCCGGUCGGCGUCCGCCGAUCAACCAAUCUUCUUCGGUUGACCUCGGAUCAGGUAGGGAUACCCGCUGAACUUAAGCAUAUCAAUAAGCGGAGG